rnacentral:lncRNA from 1 species
GGUACUGUCCUGCAGAUCAGAUGGGCAUCUCCACCAGGACGUUUGCAAGCAGAAAGGUAGAAGAUCACCUUUGAACUUUGAAAGUUCUGACAUCCCGAGGGGGCAAAAGGCGCCAGGGAAUUUCUCCCGCACUGCAAACAGCCUACACCCAGAUCCAGCUUCUGUGGAUGAACUCUUGCCAUGCCAGACGUUGGUCCUCCUUCUCUGCUCCUUCUAUAAUGUUCACCAGCCAGCUGGAAAUGCUGCUAAAGUCAGUACAUAAUUUUGAGGUAAGAUCUGAAUUUAUUCUACCGGUGGGCAAUCUUAUCGUUCUGAAAAUCUGCAUCGAAAAGAUGCUAUGUGAAGCUUAUAGCACACUCUUUUGAUUCGUGUUUCAGCUGCCAAUAGCUAAUCCUGGAGUCCUGGGACCCUAUGCUUUCUUGCUGUCUGCAAAUUUAUUUGUCACAAGCUUACAUGAUUGAAUUCUGGCAUUGAAUUGGAUGGUUGGCAUCACCAAUUCGUCAUGUCAAUUCUUCAAAUUUACAAUGCAUGAUGGUUCUAGUGGUAAGAUCAUUGCAAUGUUUUAUGUAAUGUGGUGGUGGUAUCACUCGACUGGUUGAUCCAGAUUGGUUACACGUCCUUCGUUUAAGGGUUUGUUUAGGUUGGUGGAAUUCUGUGAAUUUUUCUUACAGGGAAGUGAAUGAAGACGAGGUGAACGUCUGCGGUACAGUAAGAUGAGUUUGGACAACGUGUGCGGAAAAGGAC